UACUCAAGAGAAACGACAGAAAAAAAAAUCUCUACGGUGUUUCGAUGGUCGCAAUAGAAAGGGGAUAAGGGUUUCUCAAUUCGGAGUGGACCCAACCAGCGAAAAAGAUUCGAUGGCUUAAACUGGUUCGCUUUCUUCAGCGAGGGUUCGUUUAUCUCGCAAACCAACCGCUUCACCUUAGUCAAUUCAGUCCCACCAAUAGCAUUCAUAUAGCAAGAAGAUGACUUCAUAUUUGCAGAAGGCUGGUCUUUGCCAAGUUCCCCAUAAGGGUGGCUAUGUAGGUAAUGGAAAAUGUUUAUGUUAGGAGCUGGUAGAAAGAAAUGUAUAAACUUCUUCUGACUUCUGGGAUUACUUUCUUGUCGCAGCCGUAACGGUUUAUAAAAUUAAUGACCGGCCUGUUGUCAAAGGAAAAUGAUAAGUCUGUUUCGUGGGGUACAUUUUUUAUUGUGUUCAAACAUAUUGCGUUAAGGGUUUUUUUAUGUUCUGUUUACUAUCUAAAUUGCUUUGAAGUAAGUUCAGUCA